CACGUAGGGCGCAAGCGUUGUCCGGAAUUAUUGGGCGUAAAGAGCUCGUAGGCGGUCUGUUACGUCUGCUGUGAAAACCCGGGGCUUAACCCUGGGCUUGCAGUGGAUACGGGUAGACUAGAGGCAGGUAGGGGAGAAUGGAAUUCCCGGUGUAGCGGUGAAAUGCGUAGAUAUCCGGAGGAACACCGGUGGCGAAGGCGGCUUCCUGGACCGACACUGACGGCUGAGGCGCGAAAGCUAGGGGAGCAAACGGG
rnacentral:rRNA from 1 species